rnacentral:rRNA from 1 species
UACGUAGGGUGCAGGCGUUUAAUCGGAAUUACUGGGCGUAAAGCGUGCGCAGGCGGUCUUUUAAGUCAGAUGUGAAAUCCCCGGGCUUAACCUGGGAACUGCGUUUGAAACUGAAAGGCUAGAGUGUGGCAGAGGGGGGUGGAAUUCCCAGUGUAGCGGUGAAAUGCGUAGAUAUUGGGAGGAACACCGGUGGCGAAGGCGGCCCCCUG